GGUUAAGCGACUAAGCGUACACGGUGGAUGCCCUGGCAGUCAGAGGCGAUGAAGGACGUGUUAAUCUGCGAAAAGCGUCGGUAAGGUGAUAUGAACCGUUAUAGCCGGCGAUGUCCGAAUGGGGAAACCCAGUGCAAUUCGUUGCACUAUCGUUAACUGAAUACAUAGGUUAACGAGGCGAACCGGGGGAACUGAAACAUCUAAGUACCCCGAGGAAAAGAAAUCAACCGA
rnacentral:rRNA from 1 species